UUGACAUUUUAUUCCAUCUCAUGGCUGCUAAUUAAGAGACACAGAUACGAGCAGCCGAGAUGAAAUCAGCAGGAGCUGCAAGCCAUUCUUAAAAUAAAACGCAACCUCGAUUUGCUUAAAUCCUAAAUCAGCACACACGGGGUGCCUACCAUGUCAUUCACAUGGACUCCACUAGGGGGCAAUGGAUGAUUGCGUCUACAACUGAAGGGCGCUCGUGAUGGCUGCUAUCUAUGCACUUCAAGUGUGGCAGGCACUUCACACAAUGAUCAGAGCUGCAGUGGUGACAGCUUGUAUUUCUGCUGUAGAGUUGAAAGAAAGAAUGUAGCUCCUUGUCACCUGCAGUCCUGCUUAACUUAAGCUGUCAACUUGACACAGUCUAGAGCUACCUGAGAAGGGAAUCUCUAUUGAGAGAUUGCCUGGAGCAGAACAGCCUGAAGGCACAUCUGUGAGCUGUCAGUCACUGGGCAAGUGAUCGGUCCACUGUAGAAGCGGGUGACCCAGUGCUGGAUGGACUGGGCAAGGGCUCGGUCCACUGUAGAAGCAGGUGACCCAGUGCUGGGUGACCCAGUGCUGGAUGAGAAAAGCAACCAAGCAAGGCUCUACAAGCAAACCAGCAAGCAGCGUCCUCCAGUGGUUUCUGCUUCAAGUUCCUGCUAGAAUUCUGACUCCCUUCAGCAAUGGACUGUGACCCCUAAGCUGAAAUAAAGCCUUUCUCUCCUCUGGGCUAUUUUGCCAAUGGAAUUGGUCACAGAGGCAGAAUAAAAGCUGGAAGCACCUGCCUGUA